UAGGGAAUCUUCGGCAAUGGGGGGAACCCUGACCGAGCAACGCCGCGUGAGUGAAGAAGGUUUUCGGAUCGUAAAGCUCUGUUGUUAAGGAAGAACGAGUGUGAGAAUGGAAAGUUCAUACUGUGACGGUACUUAACCAGAAAGGGACGGCUAACUACGUGCCAGCAGCCGCGGUAAUACGUAGGUCCCGAGCGUUGUCCGGAUUUAUUGGGCGUAAAGCGAGCGCAAGCGGUUAGAAAAGUCUGAAGUGAAAGGCAGUGGCUCAACCAUUGUAGGCUUUGGAAACUGUUUAACUUGAGUGCAGAAGGGGAGAGUGGAAUUCCAUGUGUAGCGGUGAAAUGCGUAGAUAUAUGGAGGAACACCGGUGGCGAAAGCGGCUCUCUGGUCUGUCACUGACGCUGAGGCUCGAAAGCGUGGGGAGCGAACAGGAUUAGAUACCCUGGUAGUCCACGCCGUAAACGAUGAGUGCUAGGUGUUGGGUCCUUUCCGGGGCUCAGUGCCGCAGCUAACGCAUUAAGCACUCCGCCUGGGGAGUACGACCGCAAGGUUG
rnacentral:rRNA from 1 species